AGGAAGGAAGGAAGGAAAGGCUUGGCAGGGUCCAAGUUCUGAGGGACCACUUUUCUACAGAGUACUCGAGGGGCUUGUUUUGGUAGAAGGCGGCACGGAAGGGAAAGACCACGAACACAACGAGGAGGCAGCGGCACCAGCCUGCUCCUUUAGGGCGAGCGGGGCACCCUGCGGGAAGGUGGCCGGAGCCGGUGCAGGGGGUGGCAGGGGACAUUAGGAGCGGCAGCGGGACAAACAGCGCUCAACGCGGUUAGUCCCAUCCGAAGUCACGCUUCGACAGCCGCUUUUCUUUUAGGAGCUCACGUUUCCAAGAUUUGUCUCUUCGCCGAGAUGUGGUUUUCCCCUGCGCUUCCAGGGACGCCCCUGACAAAUGUACUUUGAACAUUUGAAAGUGUCAUAAAUAUUUAUACCAAAAAUUCUUCGUUGCCUCAGAUGGCCGGAACGAAGCAAGAACAGAAAAGAGUGUAAUUCAUCGCACAACUCGUAUCAUAUGGAUGGUAACAAAUUCCCCAGGAUAAGUCUGCACCCACAUUAUCGUUUCGGAAGCUAAACGUGUUGCUUUCUAAACAAGUCGACAUGAGGGGAUUAAAUGAAACAAGCGUAUUUAGAAUUGCUCCUAUUAUUAAUUAACCGUAGUUUAGACGCGCUCAGCUGAUUUCCUUGCCGUGCACUCAGUUGCAAGAUCUGCACGGUCCUCGCUGAUGCUAAACGAGUGGAGGAAUGCACACGGGGCGACUAUUGAUCGCACAGUUACAGCUGUCCGCCGUCUUUGAGUCCCAUUUGCCCCGAAUUCUUCCCCCCACCCUCCAAAAUAAUAACGACAGGAAUAAAUCCCGCAGGCUCCUCUGUCUGAUUGCAGCGUUCCCCUUUUUGCAGCUCUGCAAAGCCCCUUCGGACCCCACCAUCGUGGAUGUGCCCGGGCCGCUGGCUCAGCCCCCCAAAGGCAGGGGGAGAGGGGAUGCCCACGAUCCCCGGCCGGCUGCGGGAGGGGGCUCGGGGCCGCCCCCAGCCGGGGCAGUAAGCCCCGUUUUUUUCUUUUUCCUGCCGGUUACGAAAUCAGGCUGCGGGGAGAAGGUAGUGGGGGAUGCUCGGGUCACGCCGGCUCCCAUGCCACCGCAGCUGCGUGCCUGGCACCGGGCGAAAUCGUGACAGGGCAAGGCUUGUUUUCUCUUGGCACAGCCGCCUCCGAGUUUUUAGAAGUCGGUUGCAGCAGCAACUCUGCCGAGCAGCUUGCGAAAGCGCACUGAGUGGCUCUGAGGCUCUUCCCCGGGUCCGGGGUGCAGCCGGGGACGGUCCUUUAUUCAAUUCCCUCCCGCAGGAAAAUGCCCGCAGCUAUUAUCCAGCCCAUCUGCCCGAAAAGAAAAGCUCUGGUAAAACCGCGACCCUGAUUUUCGAGCAACAAACCGGCCGACAAAUCUGGAACAAAAUAUUUACCGAAGCUGCUUCUUGAUAGAUAAUGAAAAACUCCCAUUGGCACCUAAAAAUGGGCAUUCCGUUAGCUCUACUCUUACUGCUUUUUUUACCAGGAUGCUUGUACGAGCGAGCCCUUCAUUGCUUUCCAACACAGACACAGCUGCCGCGACACAGUUCUGAAGCUCAGAAGUCAAAAUACAAUUGACCUUAGAUAAAUAGAUUUUCUCAACAGCACCGGUUUUAUUAAGUCUUGAAAUUAAGUCCGGUGACUACCUGGCCAUCCUAAAAUUGCUCUGAGAUGUGGAUCUGCGCCGUUUCUAACUGCAGUGUCAUCAGAAAUCCAGGCACUCAACUUGUAUUUAUUUCCGUGCUUUGAACGCUAACAUUAGUAUUUCUUCAGGGGGGAAACACUAUGGCACAAAUUCAAAUGAUAGAUCGGGAAAAUGACUCUAAAAUAACAUAGGAAAUGGAAAUAAAGAUGAGUACGAUUUUACCAUUUAAAGAUUAAAUUGGGCUUGUGCUGUUGAAUUGAAAUACAAAGAUGGUUAAAAUUGUGUCUUCACUGGAGUGAAAUCAGAGUGAAGGCAUGAGAUCUGUAAUACGAAGGCCACAGCUUGUAAAAAUCAACAGGUGAAAUCUAAUUAUAUUGCUUUGCAGAGCUCAGUAUUCACCAUUUGUGUUGAUUCUCUCAUCGUAAUUCAUUUUAGAGCAGUAGAUAGCCACUGAAUUGUUUUCUUAGUGGUUUGUUUUUUUCCUUGCAUCUCAGAUUUGCCCCUGCUUUGAAUACAUUCUCAAGUCUGAACCACACUGCUCAGGUGCAAAAUAUACCUUGCAUGACCAAGGUGCAGAUCAAUUUUUCAAGUGGCUUGUGAGUAGAAAAUACGGGGCGGGGAUAAGGCAUGCCACUGCAAUGUGAUCCAGUCCUUUGAGGAAAUCAUUAAAUUUGAAGCUAUUGCUGUAAAAUGGAGCUUAGUCUAACAUCAGGCUUUGUGUCUUAUCAGAGAGGAAAAACUAUCACUCCUUGUUGAGGAAUGAAACGUUUGGAUGCUUUGUCAUCACUGUCACCUACGAGACCACUAGAACAUUUUACAGCUUUAAGAAGUCAGUUUCUUUCUGGGCAUUCAAGCACAUGUAACAAAAGGUUUGCUUUUUACUGUGAUGGCAAAAAUGUUUACCCAUCUUUUAUAUGUUUAAUAUUAUUUAUUUGUGUUCAUCAUUUAACAUUAUUUGUGUUAUCACUCAGGGGAAGUGAUAGCAUAUUGUCCACUUGAUGCCCUGGAUAUAAAUGAAAAUAGAGCUUAUGUAUUUUUUCUAUUAACUUUUCUAUUAGUUUCUAAUGCAACUAAUGUUUCAGUGCUGAAGAAGUGAUUUCUUGGGUCACCGAGAUGAGAAGGCCAUAAUGAGGUCUUGCUAAGACAGCAACUGCUGUGAAGCCAUUUGAACCUUUCAGUUCCUCUUCCAGUGAAGAUGAUUAACUCUUGCUGGCCACGUCAACUCUGUCAUCAGGACUGCCGCUGAUUCAACCAAAAUUCUGGUCCUUUUACCAAGAUGGACAUUUCAUUUCCCUUGUGAGGAAGCCUGGAAGAAGGACAGAGGACGGUCUGACCCCUCUCCUUGUAGUCAACCCAGACAUGAGACAAUCUGAACUGCGAUCCAGGGACUCAUUCCCUGCUGCAGCUCACAAAAGCAGUACACGUGCAUUGAAAUAGAGGAGGCAACUGCGUGUCUCCAAUGGCUAAGAAACAGCCUGAGGUCCUUGGGGGCUGCGUGCAGUGCAUGCAUGCAAAGGAUGCAUUUUUGUUCAUCCACUUUUGGUCAUUCUGUUGGGGUGCUGGAGCCCUUGGGAAGGAAGGCUGCAGGACACAAACUGCCCGAGAGAUUCAUUCAGACAAUAGCUCCCUCCCAGGGGCAAGAUGGGGGAGCAGGACACAAGAAAGAGGCUCCAGGUUUGAAUCAAUAUUUUUCUGGACUGGAUCUUGCCUGCUGCACACAUGUUAAAUUUUACAUAGGUACUACUUGUUUCUACUAAUCAGUCUCACAAAAACAUUUUAUUAGAAUAAAUGACUGGCAGAAUGCAAAACCUGUAGGGCUUACAUGAAUAAAAAAACAUAUAUAUUUUUCAAAUAUAUAUAUUUUAUUAACUAAAGAAGAGUUUUAUAAAAACACUGAUCUGCCACAGUUUAGUGAAAAUAUAGAUGAAAUUGGUAGCUAAAGCUACUGGUAAACAUCAUUUAUGGAGCGCAGGCUUAAGAAUAUAUUUUCCAAAAUGAAUAAACAAAAUGCCAGUUGUUUAUUAAAAAUACUAAUUCAAUAAUAAUAAUAAUAAAAGUUUUAAGUUUAUUUUGUGCAUUAGCAAAAUAACAUUGGCUGUACUUAAGAUCUGUAUAGAAGAAUGACACAGGUCAUUGUGAAAUCUUAAAAGUCUUACUGAACAGUGAAACCACUGCAGUACAUGCUGAACUACUUAAGACAGACAUGAAUUGUCCAAACAAAAUAAUUUGAUACUGGCUGUUUUCCACAUUUUAAUUAGCAAGAACAGAUGGCUGUUGCAUAAUCCUAUUUAAUGUCUGUGCUUGGUAUCUCCCAAAUAGCUCAGUGAUUAAGUUCAUACCUUAGUGUGGCUAAAUGCAUUAGCUGAAAGCAAACCACUAAGAUUCACUUUCUGACAUGGGCAUAAUGCAAGCGUGUUUCCUUCCACUAACCUGAGAGAAAAGCCUCUAUUAACUCAUAGUCUGUUGGUUGUGAAGAUGCCCAGAGGUAUUUUGUAUAAAUGCAUAUUGAUGUCCCAUGCGAGUUUUAACUCCCCAGCAGAGUUUCUUUGGUAACUGAGAUCAGAGUGCCCCCAUUAUAUAAUCACCACUCUCAACACAUGCAGCCUAAUCAUGCAAUUGAUCACUCAUUUAGAGUUUGGGAAUUCUUUGGACAGCUCUGUGCAGCUAACCCUUGCUGUGCAAUGGGCUGUGUGGGCCUGGCAGCUACCAGAGGUGGCAUUGUACAGGGGCAAAGAAGGGAGGGUAGGGAAGAUGUUGAGCUCUGCUGCCCACCUGUCUGUCACACAGGAUCCUGAGGCACAGCAAGGCUGUGAGUAUCUCUCCUCCUCCUCGUCAUUGCUGCUGCUGUGUUUGACUGCUAUUUACCACAAAGCGAUGAGUUCUAUUAAUUAUUAUUGAUAACAAGCUACACUCACAUGUGUAUGCAACAUGAAAAAAAGUAAACUCUCAUCAUUUAAGACUUCUGGUAUCACAGACAGCAAAGUUCUACCCUGCAUACCUAGUGCUACCUUUUUUUCUUUCCCUUUUCCUUCUGCUGAUUUCAUUGAGGUUAUAAGAUACAAGUUAUAUAGUUGGCAAUUCACUCCUGCUUCUUUAUUUGAGUCUUAAUGUUCAGGGACUACUUUUUCCUAUGUUCAUGUAAAAUGUGGUGCUAUAAGUGUGUGCUUUACCACCUGAGGAUGUAUAUUUUAAGAUGCUUGACUGUUUCUUCAUAUGAGAAAAUAAAAUUGCUAGUUGCACAGCAAGGGUAUGAGUAGUUUGUGAUAGAAAACUUCUGUACACUUGGACAAAUUAAAAGUUGACUAUCAAUACAUAUGUAUAUAUAUAUUUGAAAACUUACAGUAGAAAUUAACAUGUGCUAUGGUAAAAAGCAAUUCUAAGUGGUUACACAAGAUUUUAAGUUUUACUAUCCCAACUCAAUUGCUCUCACUUAAAAAAUAAACAAACAAAUGAACAACAAAACAGAAAAAAAACCCACACCCUAAUUAUGAUAUAUGUUAUCUCUGUGGCAAUAUAUUUUGUUACACGAGUCUUGAACAUCUAUUGUGUAGCUUUCUGUGCAUUUUAAUAAAAUUAAAAAAAAAUUAAAGAUAGGAUACAUAUCUCUAUUUGUUGUGGUAUUGUAUUGGAUGACAGAAUGUAUGUAUCUCAGUGAGGUGUGUACAUAUAUUUUUAUAAGGAAAUGGUAGUGUAUAGCUGGUGUGAAAUGGCAGGUUUGCCUGAAAGUCAAAGGAAUUCCUUCUAUGACUGGCAAAUUUACAAGGAACUUGUUUAAUGUCUUUCCCUACUGCAAUCUGCAAGUCCUGAUUUCAUAGUGAUAAAUACCAAUUCAUUUUUGCAUGGAAUUUUUGGCAUCAUCUCUCCACCUGGAAUUUACUGUAUGAAAACUCCACAUAUUGACACUGUGACUCAUCUUUCUUAUUUGUAUGAUUCUGUCUUAUUUUCAGAUGAAAUAAUAGUCUCAUACGUGAGGCCUCGGUGGAAGCACAUUGUGGAACAACAGAUAUAUAAUCUCAUAUUUGGUUUUAUAUAAAGAAGUAAUUUUAAUUAAUAUAAUUAUUAAAGUUUAGCAAAAAGAGAAAACAUCAAUAUGGUUCUGUGUCAGCACUGGCAUCAUUUACCGAACCAAGACCACAAAAAAACUCACCAAAGUUUUUUUGUCAUUGCAUUGUAAAUUAAGGACAGCCUAUUUCUUUCUGAAGUCCAGCAACAGUAACUGUUGUAUAAAUGAUAAACAGAACGGAACUUUUAACAAGUCCAAGAGGCCUUUUUCAUGUUCUCAAGACAUUUUCUCUGCAAUGCCUUUGUCUUUACCUGUAAAAUGUUGCUACUGCAAGCUUCACUAAGUCUGGCUUUCACUCAGGAGGCAGAAAGAAACACAACUCAAGCCCAAGCAAAUGUUUAUGGACAGGACUUGAGAUAGACGUGUCAUAAAAAAGAUAUCUCUCAAAUCCUAAAGCAGAUUUCAUGGUCAGUAUUCACCAGUCCUUCCUACCACAGACCUCCUGCUGGAUAUUAAAGAGACUUCAAUGACAGAAAACAUCUGUACAUGUUAUUGUCAGGGUGUAUAUUAGAAUACAUCUAGAAUUAAUUUAAUACUCCAAUGAAAAGGUGAAGAAGCAGUACUACAGACAAUGUAAUAUACUAUUACCACGGGGAAAGGUUAUAUAUAUAUAUAUAUAUAUAUAUAUAUAUAUAUAUAUAUAUAUAACGUCUUUAUGCAGUUCUGUUUGUAUGUUUUAUUUCAGGCAAACUCCAUGUAGAAAUGUAUAAAAAGCCCCCUUAUUCCAUCCUUGUCCAACAACUAUAAGAAAAAAAAAAAGUGUUCAAGGAAGUUAGAUUCAUUAUGGGGUAUUCUGUGCUUGCUAGUGAUUUUUUUUUUUUUAAUGUUCAUUUAGAAUAAAGGCAUGAAAAUAAAUGAUAAAGUUCUUUUCUUUAUACUUUUAUGAAGUCCUUAUGAAAGUAAAAAGUUUUUGAUUCCUCCAAGCAACCACAAGUGGCUAAUCUGGGAUGCUUGAUAUCCAGCACAGAGAAAGGAAUCUUAUUUGAAAUCAGGCCAUUCUUAACCUCCAUUUCUACUUCCUCCAUUACUCCACUCCCAAAGACAGUUUAUGUGUUAAGCUCUGCAUCACCAAGCGAAGCAAAGUAUUUCCUACAGACAUGGGUGUACGUGGAGAGUCCUUAGGAACUCAAGUGUCCCUCACAUUGAAUGCUUUUUCUCUGUCGGCCUGGCUUGGAAAUAAAAGUCAAAACAUUCUCUCAUGAGAAUCAAUGGCAAAUUCAAGAGAACACAGAAAAUAAAAACAUAGUCCAAGUAAUGAAUGGAAUAAUUUUCAUUGUGUUUGGUUUGGUGUAUGGACUCAGUAAAUCUCACUUAUAUAAAUGUGUUUUGAAGUUAAUUAUCUACUAAAAUUUCCA